GGAUACUAUUAUUGAAAAAAAAAAACUCAUUCGUAACAGUUAUAUAAUAUUUUAAUAUUAUAGGAUCGUUAUAGUACUGAAAAAGACGGUACUAUAAUUUCAAACAUUGGGUCAAGUAAGGAAACUAAUUAUGAUUCCAAAGUCAAAAAGAAUAAAUCUUGCAAGCGGAAAAAAAAUGAUGACACUUUAAUUUCGCAAUCUGAUGGGCAUUAUAACAAAGAAAAUGAGCCUCAUAAGUCCAAAGAAAUUAAAGAAAGAGCCGGAAUUGCCUAA